UCUGAGUUUCCUACUCAAAAGUUGGGUUGCAGCUGCCACCAGACAUUAAGGAAGGAUGGUCUCGGCCUCGGAAAUCGACCUCUAAGAUCAAACUGGCGAGCAUAUCCGGGAGAUCGUCACCGCUGGGGCGUUGGUGAGGCUGAAAUGCAUGACCAGGGGGAACUCAGAAGAGAUCAGGUGACUCAGGUGAAGGAGCCCUUGAGCUAAGAGUUGGAUUGAGAACGGACUGGAGACAGAGUGACAAAUGCUUGACUGUUGAGCUUGAAGAACAGUCAAUGUGUGGGUUAGUCAAGUUUGAGCUAAGACCACUGGAGCAUGAGGAGAGUUAAUAACUUGCUCACAUUGCCAUUGUGACUACAGAAUGAAAUGAUUGUAAGCAUAUGAAUAUUGCUAUAUUUCAUUGAAACAAGCCAUUAAUUUAAAAAUGUAUCCAGUCAGUGUGUUAAACAUGUUUGAGAUGAUAAAAAAGGACUUUCUUCUAAUAAUGGGAUCCAGUAUGGCACAUGUCUGAUGAUGAUGUCAUGAUGUCAGGUUGUGCAAACAGAAAAUCAUUUUAAAUUUCAUCCCAACAUUUUCAGAGCUAUUAAAUACACCAUCUUGAACUGUGAGAAAUGUAUAAAAUGAUGAAGACACAUUGAAUUUUCCAUUAUGUAACAUGUAGCUGCAAUGAUGUGUUGGAACAAGCGUAUAGAGAAUAAAAAUGCAAUAUUAUUAAA